CUCGUUCCAACACCCCGAGCCUCCUCUCUCUCUCUCUCUCUCUCCGAGUCUCCGUCCCUUUCUCUCUCUCCUCCUCCGGCGAACAAAUGGUGUCGCUAUCAGAUCUAGCGACGGAGAUCGUGAUUCCGGCCUGCGCCGUGGUCGAAUCGUGUUCUCACUGGUCUAGUGGGUGCUCGUAUCCCGCGUGAAGCUCUCGUCGGACCAUAAUUCUUCCGGUUCCGGUCACGAACCACAAGAACGGGUACAACGACUACCUGAUUGAAGAUUUUAAUGAUAUUGCUGAGUACGACUGUCCGGUUCGUAGGAUUGCGCGGCCAUUGAAGACUGAAGAGCAUUGUGGUCUACCUUAAAUCCUUCUUUCUUCGUUCAAUUGAGAUACCAAACAUCUCUUACGACAUCAUGAAUUCUAACAACAUUUUCAUCAUUGUUGUUCAGCAACAAAGAAGACUAUUUGAGGGCUUAGCUACUGCACAUACAAUAUUUCUUGUUUCAUCUAGUGUGUGUGGGUUUUGAGAAAGCAAAACUACUUACCAUACAAUGUCUCAUCAAGUUGUCAAUUGGAAUAUCAGCAUCUUUAGGAAACAAACAACAGAGCUUAAAAAAAUAUUUUGCAUCCGAAGAGGACAAUAUAUCAUAGCUCACCCUUAAGGAAGCCCAAACACUUGGGCUAGUGCCCUCUAUGUUCGUGAGGAUGUGCCUCUCUAGACUACCUAUUGCAUUCUUCCACACAUGGUUUGGCUUACCUUUCAAUGCUGCUCCAAGUGCAUUUAUGGAAAUUGAUAAUUUCAAUUGUAUUCCUUUCACAUUUAUAUUCUUAGAGACAAAUGCACUUGGAGCAACAUUGAAAGGUAAGAGAGUUCACAAGUGGAAAUAAUGUGCUGGAUAAGAUGGAGAGGUACAUGAUCACAAACAUUUGAGGCAUAUCCAAUUGUUUGGACUUCCUUAGGGGUGAGCUACGAUUUGUUGUGGUCCUCGAAUGCAAAAUCUUAUUCUUUGCUCUGCUAUUUGUUUCCUAAAUAUGUCGAGCUUCCAAUCGACCACUUGACAAGACUUUGCCUGGCGAGGAGUUUGCUAUGUUGAAACAUACAUACAUUAGACGAAGCAAGAAAACUUGUACCUAAUCCAGAUGGACGGUUGACUCGGCAAUAUCCCUAAGAUCUGGAAAAAUUGAUGGGCUUCCAAAUGAGUUGGCAUAUCUACAACUCUACACCUUGAUGUUUGAAAAUAGUGAUCUUGAUGUUCCUGACCGGGUUUUUUUGUGGGAUGAAACAACUUAUAGUAUUAGUGUUAAACUUAAAUCAGAUGUGUAGUUCACGACUUAUAUCACCACUUGCAAAAUUGUCGCAUACUACAUAUAUGGUCCAGAUAUGCUUCUAUCACAAGUACUAGGAAUUUAUAGGAGUUUUUUUGUUUGUUUGAUAAAGAGAAUGAUAUUUGAAAGAGGAUAUUUAUCUCAUGCAUGCCAUUUAGCAUCGCUAUUAUAACUAGGGAGAUAUUUCGUCCCUUGUUUGAAAAGUGUGCCAUGGCUUUGAUUGUGAUGGAUUAGUAUUUAAUGAUUGCUACUGGAGUACUAGUGUCCCCUGCUCAUGUGUUGCUUGUGAGGUGUGAUGUGUAGUUCAACUCCAACACAUAAGGCUUGUCGUAGAGUCACUUUUUACUUUUUUAAAUAUGAUAAGUUCUUGUUUUCUUUCUUUAUAAUCUAUGUUUUGUUUUGAUGUCUUUCUUUGUCAUUUCUUUUUUAGGUGUUAAUGUUUGUUGGUGGCUGAGCAGAUAUACGUGAUUUACACUCAGGAUUGAUUGUUUUGUUAUGCUUGUGUGAAGUGCACUAGGUUGGUUAAAUACUGUAGUGGUACAAACACGUGAUUGAGGGGGCAGUUGAGAUAGAUAGAUUUUGGCAACAAAAUUUGUUGUUC